rnacentral:rRNA from 1 species
UACGUAGGGUCCGAGCGUUGUCCGGAAUUAUUGGGCGUAAAGCGCGUGUAGGCGGCUUGUUAAGUCGGGUGUGAAAGCCCUCAGCUCAACUGAGGAAGGGCGCCCGAAACUGGCGAGCUUGAGUGUCGGAGAGGAUGGCGGAAUACCCCAAGUAGAGGUGAAAUUCGUAGAUAUGGGGUGGAACACCGGUGGCGAAGGCGGCCAUCUGGACGACAACUGACGCUGAGAAGCGAAAGCAUGGGGAGCGAACAGG